CACGGUUCAAGACGACGAUGUGACAGAGAGAAAACAAGCCUCUCUCUUGUCUGUGACCCGCGAGGCGACCGCGGCGAGCGGGGACCGGCUCCCCACUCCGAUUAGGCAAUUAGCUGAUUGCUGCCCGCCCGCAGCCCGAGCGAGCGGUGCGCGGGGAUCUCGCUGCCUGCCCACCUCUCCUGCAAACAGAGGCACGUUCUCCGACUUUGAUAGCUCCCUGGGUUCCUGUGAAAAACAACCACAGCGUUUCCAGAGUGUGUUUCUCAAAUACCAGCGUCAGGGGAUCGCAGAAUUACAGCAACAAAUGUUACGAGAGUAGACAUCCCUGGAGGUAAAUUUCUAAGAUAAACAAGAAAAUGAUCCUGGAAUUCUUUGCUCCUUCCUCACUUACUGCGCCAUUUGAAACCCUUAAAUGAAAAAAGGCGGAGAGAAGUUCAUGUGGCUCAACCUCCACCCCUUUCUCUGAAGUCUGUGGUUCCUGUUGACAAUGAGGAAUGCCAAGCCUCAAUUCCCUGAGGGUAAUUUGACCUGCUAAUUAUAUGCAAAGACUCAGGUCCCUCAUAAAAGACCGGACUUUCUCUUGUCACCUGGGAAAUGUCAACAAAUGACAUUAUCUUCCUUUGAGGGAUCUCUGUGUCUUCUGGAUGGACAAGGAGAGUCAAUAGGGAAGCCAGGUGAGUCAGGGGCCUUGGAGUGCCCGAGACUGGGAUGGGUGGGGCGUUUAAUGGUGCUCUUCUUGUAGCUUUGCUCCUGUUGCUGAAAUUUAAAAACUUGAUCAUCGUUCCUUUAUCAAGGGAAACUUGAAAGGAAGAUCACCUUUUUGUUUUCUAACUUGGAAAUAAAGAGCUACGUUAAAACUUUGAUGAGCGUGUGUAGCAUCAUAACAUUGUUCUUGUUGGCUAGACUAAAGCCACAUCCAAGGCCACCAGUGUGCAGUGGGAGGCCAACCCUUCUCUGCCUCCUGCUGAAUUAGCAGGAGGUUGGUGAAAGGCAGUGUGGUUAGUUGAUUAUGAUAACUUACUAUUCCAUUUAGCCAGUGCUUGCUGUGAGCUAUGUGCGUUACAUCAUUACCUUAUUUAAUCCUUACUACAACUCUUGGGAACAUAUUAAUUUCCCAUUUAUAAAAAAGGAAGUUGCAGUUCAGAGACGUAAGGAAAUUUGUCCUGAGUCACACAGCUAACAAGGGGUGGGGUUGGGUUUCAAAUCCAGGCAAGGUAUCAAGUGCCUUGGAUUCUGAUCCUGAUUUUGCCUCUAUCUGGCUACGUGACUUGGGAAGGACAAUUCAUAAAACUUACUUGAGUCCCUGUAUCUUUUUCUUAAAAUGAGGGAACUGGGCCAGAUGAUCUGAAACUGCUCUACCCGACAUGAUGGUUCCUCAUUGCAUGUGGCUGUUCAGCACUUGCUGCGGCUGCUCGGAAAUGAGAAAUGUCAGUGUUCACCACACACUGGAUUUCAAAGACUUAAUAUAGAAGAAAGAAU
rnacentral:lncRNA from 10 species